UGUGUCUGUGAGGGUGUUAAUUAUUGCCCAGGAUGGUCUCAACCUGUGAGGGUGUUGCCAAAGGAAACUAACAUUUGAUUCAGUGGGAUAGGAAAGGCAGACCUACCUUUAAUCAGGUGGGCACCAUCUAAUCAGCUGCAAGCCAAUAUGUAGUGGGCAGAAAAAUUUAAAGCAAUGAGAGGGGCCUAACCUCUCAGCUUACAUCUUUCUCCCAUGCUGGCUGUUUCCUGCCUUCGAACAUGGGACUCCAAGUUAUUCAGUUUUGGGAUUCAGACUGGCUCUCCUUUCUCCUCAGCUUUCAGACAGUCUAUUUUGGGGCCUUUUAUUUAAGAAUGCAUGCUGGUUGGAAAUGACUAUAUGUGAGAAAAAAAUUUUAAAAAGACAAAAAAGAAAGGAAGAAAAAGAAGAAUGGAUGCUGGGCCUGGCAUGGUGGCCCAUGCCUGUAAUAUCAGCACUUUUGGAAGCCAUGACAGGGAGAACUAACAGCUUCACCAACCCCAGUAGUGGCAACAUCCCCUCCCAGACUUUCCACCUUUAUCUGAGGAGAUAAACCCUGCUCUGCCUAAAGCAACAGUGAUGACCUCCCCUGAGGCAGUUCCCAGGUCCUUGAGGAAUUGCCACACUGUCUUCCACAAUGGUUGAACUAAUUUACACUCCCACCAGCAGUGUAAAAGUGUUUCUAUUUCUCCACAUCCUUUCCAGCAUCUGCUGUCUCCAGAUUUUUCAAUGAUCGCCAUUCUAAUUGGCGUGAGAUAGUAUCUCAAUGUAGUUUUGAUUUGCAUUUCUCUAAUAACCAGUGAUGAUGAGCAUUUUUUCAUGUUUGUUGGCCUCAUGUAUGUCUUCUUUUGUAAAGUGUCUGUUCAUAUCAUUUGCCCACUUUUGAAUGGGCUUGUUUGUUUUUUUCUUGCAAAUCUGUUUUAGUUCUUUGUAAAUUCUUGAUAUCAGCCCUUUGUCAGA
rnacentral:lncRNA from 1 species